CUUAAACAACAUUUCUUCACACUCUCCACUUCCUCCACACACCCUCUCCGUUCCUCUCACUUUCUCUCAGAAUCACUGGGGGAAACAGCUUCUACUGUAUAUUAUGUAUGAUAUUACUUUUGCUCAGCGGCAAAUAUAACACUUACCCUCGAAGGAGGGUAUCACUGUAAAUAUAGACCACCGCCUGCCUGUUUUUCUCUUUCACACUCCCAUAAUCCGUUCCAGCCCUCUCUGUCACUGUCAGCAUCGGCCCUACCGUCUUCCCUCCUUUUCCACUCUUCUCCUGUCCAGUUCUACCAUUGUUUUUCCCAACUGCCUCUUUUAAUCUCACCAACGCCACCUCUUUCUUCCUCUACUUUCUACACGUGCCACCUCUUUGUUCUCUACUUUCUACACAUGCCACCUCUCUUCCUCUACUUUCUACACAUGCCACCUCUCUUCCUCUACUUUCUACACGUGCCACCUCUCUCUUCCUCUACUUUCUACUAGAGUUCGACCGAUUAAUCGGCAUGGCCAAUUAAUUAGUGCCGAUUUCAAGUUUUCAUAACAAUCGGU
rnacentral:lncRNA from 13 species